rnacentral:rRNA from 1 species
UAACUUUCAGCAACGGAUCUCUUGGCUCUCGCAUCGAUGAAGAACGCAGCGAAUCGCGAUAAGUAAUGUGAAUUGCAGAUUUUCCGUGAAUCAUCGAAUCUUUGAACGCACCUUGCGCUCCUCGGUAUUCCGAGGAGCAUGCCUGUUUGA